CAAAUUCAUUCCCUUCCACAUGAUUAAAAUAAUUAAGUGGCAGAUUGGCAGGGUCUAAAUUCUGUGUUUAUAUAAAAAGAUUUGAGGAGAUUAUACAGUCUGUUGCUGUUGCUCUCAAAACAUGGCUAAUUAUAGGGUUUUCAAAACUUAUCUACUUUUCUUUCUCUUUUAAAUAGGCAAUGUAUCUAGGUUACAAAAUCCAAAAGAUGCAAAUGAGACUACAAUAAAAAUUAAGUUUCCAGUCUUCUUCUCUCUCUGCCUGUUUUCUCCUCUUUAAAAACAUGGCACCUAAUUUAUUUUGUAUCCACUCAGAGAUGAUCCAGGCAACUGCACUCAAGAUACUCUGUUAUUGCAGCACCAGUGGAUGAGCAGAGGGAAUGACUGAGCCAUAAGAUGAAAGGAUUCUGGAUGGGCGAGUGGAAUACUGUGCUCCCGACAUGGAAUAACACUGGCAGAGGCAUGACUUCUCAGAUCAUAGUUAAGAAUGGGCAACCAACUGUCUCCACCAUAACCACUUUAUACUCUUCUGGAGUGCAUCUUGAAUCACCGGUACUGCUUUGACCCUCAUAAUCUGGAGGGAAAAUGCCUAUUAGCCCUUUGCACAAAGGUUUGGCCAAAUUAUGAAGGACUGGCUUGGUCUUAGGAAGGAACCAUUCAUUUCGUUAUCAUCUAGCAGUUGGACCUUUUCUGUAAAUACAAGGAUAAAUUGUCAGAGACGCCAUAUGCACAAACUUCCUUUACCUUGAGGGGCAAUCCAGACCUGUGCUGACAGUGUAGCAAUCCCCCCUGCUGACCAUCUCAGGAGAGGCUGCCAGGGGCAAUCUCAAGGAACUAAAGAAACAAAUUCCAGAGGCACCUUCAGCAGGGAGUCAGCUCCCUCUAGUCCUGCUCCUCUGGGUUUUCCCCAUCUUCUAUCCCACUUUCCCCCUCCCAGAAAUAUCCCAGACGAGCCCCAGUCUCACUCUUGCCCCUCCAACAGAUGCCUGGUGAAUUUGGCCCCAGUAAGGCCCAGGUCCCCUUCUAUCUACAGUGCUUAAGGGAGAGUAAGGGAGAUCUUGACAAGUUUUCAGAUAUAUAUAUAGAUAUACAUCAGAUGGAUAUAUAGAGGCUUUCCAGAAUUUAACCCAAGUAUUUGAACUCUGCUAGAAAGACAUUAUGUUACUUAUAAAUCAAACCCUGACUAACACUGAGAAGCAGACUGCUCUGCAAGUGGCAGAGAGAUAUGCUUAUGAGCUUUGUGUCACAUAUAGCAUCAGGGAAGGUGCCAAACAUCAUCCAUAUGGAAGAGAAGCAGUACCAAUGGAUGACCCUAGAAUGGAUCCCAGUGAUGAGAUGGGAGAAUGGAGGAGGAGGCACUUUCAGGUGUGCACAAUGGAGGGUUUACGUAGGACUUGGCUCUUAAUUAUACCAAGCUAUUCAUGAGAGAUCAGGGAUUUCAUGGGAAUCCCACUGCCUUUCUGGAAAGGAUAAGAGAGGCCUUUGUAAAGUUCACAUCUAUAUCUUCUGAUUCUGGCAAAGGAUAACUAAUCCUAAAGGAUAAAAUUAUUACUCAGGCACCCCCUGAUAUAAGGAGGAAGCUGCAGAAACAGGCCCAGGGACCAGAGAGUACUUUAGAGGACCCCCUGAAAGUGACCAACUUGGUUUUUAUAAUAGAGAUAGGGAGACACAAGAAAGAGGUAGAAGCUUUAAUGGCCACCAUGCAAUCCCAUAAACCCCAGAAUUCCCAGUGCACCUGUUGACUGCUACAGAUGUGGCAAGAAUAGUUAUCUCUCUUAUGAAGUUUAACUGCUCCCAUACAAGGUUUAAUUUCUUUCAUUAAAGUGACACAGCUUGGGGUACAGUGUGGUUAGCAUGCUUCAUUUCUUAUUUCUGUAAUCUUUGGCACUAGAUUCUUUCCCGGUAUAAUACAUGUUUGACCUAUGCAUACUUAACCUUGUAAAAUUUGCUUGUUUUCCUCUUUCACCUAGAGGCCAUCAAACUCCAAAAAGUCAGGCAACUGCAGCCUUGGACAAUUGAUCCCUUUUGCCAGGGACCCGUAGGUAGACCUCAGGGAGAAAUCUGACAGCAGUUUUCCCAAAAACGAUGGCUCCGUCAGCAGGAAGUAGCUAAGUCUGACCAUCUUCCAUAUUCUGGUGGCACUUAGAUGUGCCUCCUCAGAGCGGGGAAGUGAUAGGAGUGAAGAACAGGAGGCAGGAAAAUACCAGGCUGAAAAGUGUAGAGUCCCUGGUGAAGCCCCACCCUCAAGCCUGGACCCGCAGCCCAAAGUGAGAACAUGCAUUCCAGUUUUCCUGCUUGAAUGUUGCUUUUUAACCUGUCCCACCCCUCAUCCUAUAUCCAUAAAAACCCGCAGCUGAGCAGUGGAGUGGCAGAGCGGCAGAGAAGGAAAACAGAGAAGCAGCAGCCUAACAUCGUCAAGAUACAGAUUGACUUCAGAGGGGUGGCUUGAAGGUGGGGACCUCAGAACAAUUUGGCCAGGGAUGGCUGAACUCCAGAAGAAGACCACCUUCUCACUCCAACCCCUUCCUAGCUCUCCAUUCUGCUUAGAUCUACUUUCAUCAGCAAUAAAAUCUCCCGCAUUUACCAUCUUCGAUUUGUUCAUGUGACCUGAUUCUUCCUGGAGGCUGAACAAGAGCUUGGGAAGAGGAGGGCUGUCACACCGAACUGUUAAACACUUAAAAGUCAUCUGCAGAUAGUGUGACAUGGUAAAAGCCCCAUAAAACUGCAUACCUCAACCACACCUCGACUUUCUGUUCAAACUGCUCUCUGUAACCCUGACGUGACAGGCAAGCAGUCCAAACCCACGACAUUUUGGCCCCUGCGGCUUGUAAUAAGUAACAGGUCUAUAAUUUCCAUCCAUACCCAGACAAUGUGUAAACUAACACUUAUCUUGACUUCUGUGAACCACCUAAGAAUUGGAAUGUCCGAAGCCCCUCACCCUCACCCCGCCCAGGAGGUAGUUUACAGAAUGUCCGAAGCCCCUCACCUUCACACCUGCCCAGGAGGUAGUUUAUAGAAUGUCUGAAGUCCACUGGCCCUCAGAAUGUCCAAAGCCCCUCGCCCCUACCCCCAUCCAGGAGGUGGUUUACAGGUAUAAUAGGUCUUGCCACCCUCCUUUCGGGGCCACGGAUUGGAAAGACGCGAGUCCUCCGUGGCCACCGGCAAUAAAGACCCUGCAAUUUGGCAUACUUUUGUC